rnacentral:rRNA from 1 species
CACGUAGGGUGCGAGCGUUGUCCGGAAUUAUUGGGCGUAAAGAGCUCGUAGGCGGUGUGUCGCGUCGGCCGUGAAAACCUGCAGCUUAACUGUGGGCUUGCGGUCGAUACGGGCAUCACUGGAGUUCGGCAGGGGAGACUGGAAUUCCUGGUGUAGCGGUGAAAUGCGCAGAUAUCGGGAGGAACACCGGUGGCGAAGGCGGUUCUCUGGGCCUGUGCUGACGCUGAGGAGCGAAAGCGUGGGGAGCGAACAGG